rnacentral:rRNA from 1 species
AUUGAACGCUGGCGGCAGGCUUAACACAUGCAAGUCGAGCGGGGUGAAGUGCUUCGGUACUGAUCCUAGCGGCGGACGGGUGAGUAAUGCUUAGGAAUCUGCCAUUUAGUGGGGGACAACAUUCCGAAAGGAAUGCUAAUACCGCAUACGUCCUACGGGAGAAAGCAGGGGAUCUUCGGACCUUGCGCUAAAUGAUGAGCCUAAGUCGGAUUAGCUAGUUGGUGGGGUAAAGGCCUACCAAGGCGACGAUCUGUGGCGGGUCUGAGAGGAUGAUCCGCCACACUGGGACUGGGACACGGCCCAGACUCCUACGGGAGGCAGCAGUGGGGAAUAUUGGACAAUGGGCGGAAGCCUGAUCCAGCCAUGCCGCGUGUGUGAAGAAGGCCUUUUGGUUGUAAAGCACUUUAAGCGAGGAGGAGGCUACCUGGAUUAAUACUCUGGGAUAGUGGACGUUACUCGCAGAAUGAGCACCGGCUAACUCUGUGCCAGCCGCCGCGGUAA